CAUAUUUAAAACAUCCAACAGCAGCAACCUCUUAAUCUCAAGGUUCCCUCUUAGAGCUGUGCAACAUUUUCAGACUCCAACCAAUCCUUGCACCCUUAUUUAUUGCCAACAAUUUGUAAUUCUUGACAAUUUAUGUAAAUAACUCUGGCCUUGAAGUUUUUGCCUUUAUAAGCAUCCUCCAUUUUGUUGUCUGGUUCAAGGUUUUUUCCACCUUGAGAUUCAGGUUUCAUGGGGUUUUUUUCUCUGCCACUUACGUAGAAAUUUGAGUUUCAUGUUUUCUUUUCACUUUUGGUGAUUUCUCAGAAUAAUGAGAUGUUCAUGUUGCAACAGAACAAACGGUGGGGAAAAAAUGUAAUUGUAAUGUAUACAUAUAAGGAUAACUUUAUCCCCUUGCUGUACAGUGGGAAAAUAAAAAAAAAAAGAAUGAUGAGAAGUUCUUAUAGGAGACAUUCAAAGAAAGGUGAACCCCCUCCCCAGGAACCCUUCCUGACUUUAUGUUUAACACCUAUAGAACUUUAUUCUAUAACUGCCUAUAUAAAUGUGUUCAUUUAGCUUGAGAUGAUUUAAAGUUACAUUGUUCAAAAUGGGAAACUUUCGAACCUCCAAAUUAGUCGUGACUAGAGAAAAGUAUCAGAACCAGACAUAUAAAGGUAAGUACAGUGUAACUGGUACUAGAGGUACAUAACACUGAGAAAAUUGUCUCCCUCCAAGUUGUAGAUGAAAAGUUGAUACAGACUGUCCUAAAACUUGAAAAAUCAGUUGAACAUUGUCACCCUUCUCCUACUCUCUUCCCAAAUUCUUCAUCUUCCUCUAUCCCUUUACCUGCCUCUUUCCAAACUCCUUUUUUUUAUCCAACUGAUUCCCUCCACAUUACUCCUCCACCAGACCCCCUUCCUCCUCUUCUUCCUCUACUAAUGGGUGUUCCUGAGCCUGAAGUCCUUCUCUACCUCCCUGUUCUGACAGCCCCUUUAAAAACUAAGCCCACUAGACAAAGGGGUAAAAGCAGCCCCAUCUCAGCAAUUUCCCAAGCUUUCUUACAAAUAAUCAGAAAAUAAAUCAGCUGGAAGCCAAUAUUCAAGGACUAAUAGAAAAAACAGCCUUUGUCUUAACAAUUUCUACAAAACCAGAAGUACAACUCUAGAAACAAGCCA
rnacentral:lncRNA from 1 species